AAUCAACGCUGGCGGCGUGCCUAACACAUGCAAGUCGAACGCGAAAGCCCCUUCGGGGGCAAGUAGAGUGGCGUCCGGGUGAGUAACACGUAGGUAAUCUACCUUCGGGUGGGGAAUAACCCGCCGAAAGGCGGGCUAAUACCGCAUAAUGCAGCGGCACCUAAUGGUGAUUAGUUGUUAAAGCGGGGGACCCUUCGGGGCCUCGCGCCUGAAGAGGAGCCUGCGGCAGAUUAGCUAGUUGGUGAGGUAAUGGCUCACCAAGGCAUCGAUCUGUAGCUGGUCUGAGAGGACGGCCAGCCACACUGGCACUGACACACGGGCCAGACUCCUACGGGAGGCAGCAGUGGGGAAUUUUGGGCAAUGGGCGAAAGCCUGACCCAGCAACGCCGCGUGAGGGAGGAAAUCCUUCGGGAUGUAAACCUCACGAGCGAGGGAAGAGAGCUACGGGGCGAAUAAUCCCGUAGUCCGACGGUACCUUGCGUAAGCCACGGCUAACUACGUGCCAGCAGCCGC
rnacentral:rRNA from 1 species